GAUGAAGAACGUAGCGAAAUGCGAUAAGUAAUGUGAAUUGCAGAAUUCAGUGAAUCAUCGAAUCUUUGAACGCACAUUGCGCCCCUUGGUAUUCCGGGGGGCAUGCCUGUUCGAGCGUCAUUAUAACCCCUCAAGCUCAGCUUGGUGUUGGGGCCUGCCGACUGGCAGCCCUUAAAAUCAGUGGCGGCGCCAUCUGGCUCUAAGCGUAGUAAUUUCUCUCGCUAUAGAGUCCCGGUGGAUGCUUGCCAGCAACCCCCAACUUUCUAUGGUUGACCUCGGAUCAGGUUGGGAUACCCGCUGAACUUAAGCAUAUCAAUAAGCGGAGGA
rnacentral:misc_RNA from 1 species